rnacentral:rRNA from 1 species
GACGAACGCUGGCGGCGUGCUUAACACAUGCAAGUCGAACGGAAAGGCCCUGCUUUUGUGGGGUGCUCGAGUGGCGAACGGGUGAGUAACACGUGAGUAACCUGCCCUUGACUUUGGGAUAACUUCAGGAAACUGGGGCUAAUACCGGAUAGGAGCUCCUGCUGCAUGGUGGGGGCUGGAAAGUUUCGGCGGUUGGGGAUGGACUCGCGGCUUAUCAGCUUGUUGGUGGGGUAGUGGCUUACCAAGGCUUUGACGGGUAGCCGGCCUGAGAGGGUGACCGGCCACAUUGGGGCUGAGAUACGGCCCAGACUCCUACGGGAGGCAGCAGUGGGGAAUAUUGCACAAUGGGCGGAAGCCUGAUGCAGCAACGCCGCGUGCGGGAUGACGGCCUUCGGGUUGUAAACCGCUUUCGCCUGUGACGAAGCGUGAGUGACGGUAAUGGGUAAAGAAGCACCGGCUAACUACGUG